AACUUCCUUUCCAAAUUGGUUCCAAGAAUGGUGGUUAUAUUUUGGUAUCAUUCCAACAAUUUUUUGUCCUCAAAUCAAAUCAUCUUUAUAUUAUUUUAAAGAGCAUGCUAAGGGUUUGAUCCUUGCUCAUUGUUCUCAAACUCUUUUCUUCACCUCUCGCUUUCAAAUUCCGUGGAUUUUUUGUUGGGAUUUUGUUCAAACUCAUCUAAUUGAUCCUUCUUUUCCCACACAUUUGGCGCAUGAAUUCAAGGUCAAAUGGUAGUCAAACUUCUCCCCAUCUUCUUCCCAACAACUUCCUCACAUCAAAAAUUGGAUUGUAGCAAAGGCUCCCUCCAAUAUUCAAAAUCCUUUUCAACUUCUUUCUUUUCUCUCCGAAGGAAUUACAACUCAGCCUAC
rnacentral:lncRNA from 1 species